GAUAUUACCUACAGAAAAAUUCAGUAGGUACCUAAUCAGUACUCUAAACUCCUUUGCCUCACCUUUUCAUCGUACCCCUACCUUGAAUGAACCCUACCAUCCAUAUUCUCCCCUUUGAUAAUGGAACAGCUGACCACUAUUAGAGAAAUGUGCAUAGCCAUCUGUAUUCUAUUACUAAAUUUCUUUUUUUUUUUUUUUUGGAGGCACUCUUACUCUGGCACCCAGGCUGGAAUGCGGUAGUGUGAUCACUACUGCAGCCUCGAUGUCCCGGGCUCAAGUGAUCCUCCCACUUCAGCCUCCUGAGUUGCUGGGACUACAGGUGCACACCACCAUGCCUGGCUAAUUUUUUAAUUUUUUUGUGUAUAUACAUCUCACUAUGUUGCUCAGACUGCCUGUAAUCCCAGCACUUUGGGAGGCCGAGACGGGUGGAUCACGAGGUCAGGAGAUCAAGACCAUCCUGGCUAACAGGGGUUUUACCAUGUUGGUCAGGCUGGUCUCGAACUCCUGACCUCAUGAUCCUACCGCCUCGGCCUCCCAAAGUGCUGGGAUUACUGUCAUGAACCACCACACCAGGCCUAAUCAGUUUUAUUUUAAUUAUGCUUAUAUGUACACAGCCUGUGUCAUCUCGAUUUUCUAGGGAAGACAAUUGGUCUGAUUUUUUCCUCAGAAACCUUUUCCAUGACUUCAUUUUUUAUUACAGUGCUUCUGAAUUUUUGGGUCUCCUAUCCAUGGAUAAACCAUGAUAACCAUGGUUUGAUGGUUAAUUAACUUUCGUUCUAUACAUAUUUUUAUAGAACUAAUUAGUUAACAUUCAUUCUAUACAUAUUUUGGAAACCAUCUUAGAUUCAGGUUAGGUUAUGGUGCUAUUUAAGGAAAACCAGUAGAACAACUUCUCUCUGGCCCCAGAUUGGCCAAGGGAUGACCCACAUACAUUAUUUUGUUUUGUUUUUUAAUGACUUGUUCUUAAAGGUAUUGCAUGUGUUAUUGUUUUCCCAGCUAUGGUGAUUACUAGCUAGAAGCACAGUAGUCUCUAAACAAUAACAGGAAAAGGUUCUUGAAAAAGAAAAUACACAAAUUAAUUCCUUUUUGGUGCCGAGAUAAUCAUUGUUGGUAAUUUGGCACUCCCGUUGUCCCCAAGUCCUAGUAAGGUAAAAAAAUAUUGGUAUACAUUUAUAAAAUAUCUAUUCAUGGGGCAAAAUUCCAUAAAUAUUUAUAUGCUAACCAAAUGAUUAUGUACUGAAUACCAACAGGAAGACUAUGCAGGUGCUUUUCAGAUAAAUAUAAAUUACAAUAGCACUGGAAUUUUUCUAAGGGCAGAUAAUAGAAGUGUAAGCUAUGGAAAAGCCAACUGUACCAACUGUUCCAGUUGGCUCAGGACAGGGGUUUCCUGGGACACUGAAUUUUCAGUACCCACCCUGGGAAGUCCCAGACAAGCUGGG
rnacentral:lncRNA from 1 species